rnacentral:misc_RNA from 1 species
UUGUGGAGGAGGACGCCGAAGGUGGGGCUAAUGACUGGGGUGAAGUCGUAACAAGGUAGCCGUACCGGAAGGUGCGGCUGGAUCACCUCCUAACAGGGAGACAACAAAAUGUUUAAUAUUAUUAUUUUGUCACCUUAGGUCGAUCGGUAUCUCACUUUUUUAAUUUAUUAAGAAUUUCAUUUCCUAAGUUUUUCUAGGUCACACCCAUUAUUUUCCCUGGGCCAUUAGCUCAGGUGGUUAGAGCGCACCCCUGAUAAGGGUGAGGUCCCUGGUUCAAGUCCAGGAUGGCCCAUAUCUCUAUGUUGGGGGUAUAGCUCAGUUGGUAGAGCGCCUGCUUUGCAAGCAGGAUGUCAGCGGUUCGAGUCCGCUUACCUCCACUGAUUACCACCUCUUCCAUAAUUUGUAGAAGGGAAAUUUUUGAGUUGUGAUCAAAUUCUGAACGAAUCUAGCUUCCUAAUGAAAUUAUUAAGAUGCUGGACUCAUUGAAUUAUUUUCAUUGUUUUCAGAGAACCUUGACAACUGCAUAGAUUAUUUUUAAAGACAAUAAGCAUCUUUAAUGAUGCAGAUUUAUUAUUUGUGCGAAUGCAUUAAUAACAAUUCUAUUAAGCUGAUGCUUCUAUUUUGAAGUUAUUGGUCAAGCUACAA